UCGUGGGGGGCUGCGAGGGGGCCCUGUGUCGCCAUUUCUGCCUUUGGGCUUCUCCUGGGCUGUGGCCCGGCCCUGUGAGCAUGGGGGCCGCUGCUUAAAACCACCCACUACUCGAGGUCGUGCUCAUGAGAGGAAACACGGCUAUUAAUGACUGGAAAGGGCUGCUAGAAGCUGGUGGAGAGCAGCUGCUCUCGUGGCCCUGGAGAACUGCCGUAGCGUGUGUUCAUCUACAGACGCAGGAGAACUAUGUGUGCACGUGGGACGGCGGUCCUGGUGAGGUUGGGAGCAGAUAGCUGUGAAGCCUGCAUUAUGACUGCCUGAGCUGAACUGCUUUCCUGGGUUUGCUGUUAAGACCUUCUUUAACACCCCGAUGCCCCCAGCGCUGUCUUACUCCCAUAGUUGCAUGGCUACACAGCCCUUUUCCUUCGCCCAGGCAGACUGGGGCUGCCCCUAUCCCAUGCCGGCGCCCCGCAGCGCCAACGGCAGGACCUUUCUCGGAAGGACGGUCUGGCUCUCCUGGCAGUUGCACCCCGUGGCAGAACUGCGCUGAUCCCUUCCAGUCUGGCACGACGUUUGCUCCAGGUAUGACUCAGUUGAGCCUGGAACAGGAGGACAAGCACAUAGCGCUCAAGCUAAGCAGGCUGGAUUACUCGCAGCAUUUCCUUCCCUCGCUCCUCUCAGCAUCCUCCUGGAAAUACGGAUUUACAAGAAAAAAAACUGCAAUUUAAUUUAGUUUCAGAAAAAAAUAAUCUUAGUGGUAUGGCUAAUCCCAAGCCCUUACUAGCCUCUGAUUUUUUGCAGACUCAGGCAGAUGUAUUUUUUCUUCCUCUUCCAGACUAGGAGGUAGAGGGCCACAGUUGCAAAGUCAUCUAAACUCGGAACAGCCUGUGCUGCAGUCAGCAUCAUGCUGCAGCAACGGACGAGGUUUUGCAAGAUCAGAACCACCCCCAGUUUUGCCCCCUAUCUCCCGUUAUGCCCUAAAAAACCAGUAUUGAAGGUUAUUAUGGUGAAUUUGCAAUUCCCAUGUGUCAGCACAGCCCUUGCCUGCCGUGAGAGGCGCUUCUCUGCGUGUCAAGGACACUGUCCUGCUUGAUGGGAGUCCCCUUCGUCAUAAGUGAUUUGCAGCAAGGCGGUUUCAUUUCUGGGCCCUGCAGAGCCGUGUCCCUGGGGGCUGCUCGGAGGUGCCUGGGAGUGAUCCGCGCUGCCGCAGCGGCUGCAGCGGCCCUCAGACGACCGCUCGCAUCCAGCUCAGCUGCAGACGUGCUUAGUGGGGAUCAGUGCAGCUUACAGGCUGGCACAGCCGCCUUGCGAAGAAGGGGCAGCCACCCCUUUACUGCGGACAGUCCCAUACAAAUGAGUGGAAAAAGAGACAAGUGUACAGGCAGUAUUUUCUCCAGAAAAAAAAUCUUUCGAGAUGGAUGGAUGUCGUUUGACUCCUCCUUCCUGCAGCGCAGGGGAGAGAGUCAACUGGCUUUGGUUGGGAAGCCCUAAUAAAUAUCAUAUGUCUGAUUUAGGGUGCUUGUAUCGGACAAGGCAUCCCUUCUGGCUUUUUGUUCCGCUCAAACAGCUGCUGGCAGAUCUGCUCGUGCUUUUGGAGGGUGAAGGAAUAGCAGCCCUGAGAGCAGCCAUGAGCUUUUUCCGAGUAGACCUUGGCAAGCCCCAGGAUGCGAAAAGUCCAGAAGAAAGCGAAUGGGCUUUGGCUGGGGUCUUGGAGCCUGAACGUGAGCGGAGCUACCAGAACUCACUGUACUGGUGGGGAAGUAAGGAGAUUGCAAUGUUUGCAGCGAGCCUUGACACUCCCCUUCCUGAACUGGAAAACUUCCUGCCCGUUUGUUUCUUUCUCUCUCUCUCUACCCCCAUAUUCCCUCUCAGCAGGAUUUAAUACACUUGCUUUCUAGGCUGGCUUAAUAAUGACACGACAUUGGAUCCCGGUGUAUCAGCAUGUGCGCUCCUUCCCCCGCUAAUAACAUUCGAAUCCCUUGGCUAAUUCCGGCUGCGUCUGGCAGAGAGACGUCUCAAACGUACUGAAUUCCUGAAAGUUUCACAGAAAUGGGUGGUUUGGUAAAGUACCCUAAUUUGUGUCCGUGCUGAAGGAGGUCCCGGGUGGUUGCCAGCUGGGCAGGCGGCGAGUGUGAACGUGGUGGCCGGUCGGCACACGGAGCUCCGAAACCAGCUCCAGCACG